UCCUACGGGAGGCAGCAGUAGGGAAUCUUCCGCAAUGGGCGAAAGCCUGACGGUGCAACGCCGCGUGAACGAUGAAGGUUUUCGGAUCGUAAAGUUCUGUUAUGAGGGAAGAACAAGUGCCGUUCGAAUAGGGCGGCACCUUGACGGUACCUCACGAGAAAGCCCCGGCUAACUACGUGCCAGCAGCCGCGGUAAUACGUAGGGGGCAAGCGUUGUCCGGAAUUAUUGGGCGUAAAGCGCGCGCAGGCGGUCUCUUAAGUCUGAUGUGAAAGCCCACGGCUCAACCGUGGAGGGUCAUUGGAAACUGGGAGACUUGAGUGUAGGAGAGGAAAGUGGAAUUCCACGUGUAGCGGUGAAAUGCGUAGAUAUGUGGAGGAACACCAGUGGCGAAGGGGACUUUCUGGCCUACAACUGACGCUGAGGCGCGAAAGCGUGGGGAGCAAACAGGAUUAGAUACCCUGGUAGUCCACGCUGUAAACGAUGAGUGCUAGGUGUUAGGGGUUUCGAUGCCCUUAGUGCCGAAUUUACCACU
rnacentral:rRNA from 1 species